UGAGGAAUAUUGGACAAUGGGCGCAAGCCUGAUCCAGCCAUGCCGCGUGAGUGACGAAGGUCUUCGGAUUGUAAAACUCUUUUGGCGGGGACGAUAAUGACGGUACCCGCAGAAUAAGGCCCGGCUAACUUCGUGCCAGCAGCCGCGGUAAUACGAAGGGGACUAGCGUUGUUCGGAAUCACUGGGCGUAAAGCGCACGUAGGCGGAUUUGUAAGUCAGGGGUGAAAUCCCGGGGCUCAACCUCGGAACUGCCUUUGAUACUGCGGAUCUCGAGUCCGAUAGAGGUGAGUGGAAUUCCUAGUGUAGAGGUGAAAUUCGUAGAUAUUAGGAAGAACACCGGUGGCGAAGGCGGCUCACUGGAUCGGUACUGACGCUGAGGUGCGAAAGCGUGGGGAGCAAACAGGAUUAGAUACCCCCGUAGUCCCUGAGCGGGCUGGCAAGGCGCAU
rnacentral:rRNA from 1 species